GGUAAGAUGGCCGAGCGGUCUAAGGCGCUAGCUUCAGGUUCUGGACUCGAAUUUCCGGAUUCGGAUCCAAAACGUGAACUUGCUAGUCUCGCAAGAGGCGUGGGUUCGAAUCCCACUCUUAUCA